GGGGAUUUAGCUCAGUGGUGGAGCGCUUGCCUAGCAAGCACAAGGUCCUGGGUUCGGUCCCCAGCUCCG
rfam:Rattus norvegicus chromosome 15, whole genome shotgun sequence.